ACUGAGCGAGGCCAGGGAUCGAACCCGCAUCCUCACGGAUCUUAGUUUUGUUAACCGCUGAGCCACAAUGGGAACUCCAUUGGCUUUGAAGGUAAUCAGCCUUCUUUUUUCUGGCUGUCUUUAAAAUCUCUUUAUCCCUAUUCUGUAUCACUGUGAUAUGUCUGUGUGCAGAUUUAUUUUUUUCUGAUCCUACAUGAGAAUCUUUUGGCUUCUCAAAUUGUUGUCUUUUGUUAUUUCUGACAGAUUCUCAGCUAUUACAUUUUCAUUGUCUCUGGCUUAUUCUCUCUUUCCUUCUAUAACUCUGAUAACAUAUGUUAAACCUGUUUCAUAUUUUCCAAACUUUGUCUUUCUGUGUUACAAUCUGGUAAUUGCUACAGAACUUUGUCCAAAUGGAUUUGGGAAAGAACCAAAUAGAGCAUCUAGAAAUGAAAAUAAAUUUUUAAAAUACAGCUGGUGUGUUUAACAGAAUAUUAGACACAGCUAAGGAGAGACUUUUUAAGCUGGAAUAUAGGUCAGAAGUUUUGCUUCUACUGGGUAACUUAGGGAUGGUACCAAUUAAGGGCCAUAUUAGACUAAAUUCUCAGCUUAAAAUUUUUUUGAGCAGUAGUUUCCUGGUGGCUCAGUGGGUUAAGGAUCUGGUGUUGUCAAUGCUGUGGUGCGGAUUCAAUCCUUGGCCUGAGAGCUUUUGCAUGCUGUAGGCGCAUCCAAAAAAAAAAUGUUUCUGCACUUCUCUUGUGGCUCAGUAGGUUAAGAAUCCAGAGUUGUCACUGAACUGCUUGGGUCAUGGCUAUGGCUCCAGUUUGGCUACUGGCCUGGGAACUUCAGCAUGCCACAGGCAUGGGCAAAAAAAAAAAAAGUAUUUUUGACCAGUGUGAUUUGUGCUGUAAAACUUUGUGACACUUACUGACUUGUGGUUAUAAAUCAUCUGGGGUAAAAUUUCCCCAUCUCCAUUCAGUGCUGAGGUUCAAAACAGACAAUUUUUCUUAACCUCCUUGAUGGGGUUGGAGUAGGAGCAUUUUAUUUCAAAUUCACCAUCACAGGGAGGGGUGGUUUUUUGAGAUGUCAGCUAGAGUCUCCUACCUGACCCUUCUCGAGCAAGCAGGCUCUGGACUAUCCCCCUUGACUUGGAGGUUAAAAUUUUGCAUAAGGGACUCCAUUGGUUUCAACAGGAAAGCAGUUAGUCUUUCAUGCUGCCAGAGAUGAAGAGGUGCUUAACUUUCUCAUAGUCUUGACAGCAUUGUUCCCUUAACAUUGUUGCUGAAGCUCCAUACCUGAGAGUCCUAGGUAUGCGGAGGUAGAUACUUGUGGGGGGGUUGGCAGCCCCUUACCUCCCUCACAGUAUCAUGACGUCUUUUUGAGAAUAGAGAUAGACAUUAUGUUGGCAUGAUCUAAAGUUACCAGUAGUAUUUCAUUUAGAAAGUAGUUUUGAAUCCCAGCUUUGAAUCUUUUCAUGUUUUUCCCUAUGUUUUCAUAUUUUUCUUAUGUUUAUAGUUGGUUAAAUUUGACACUUAAGUGAUUCUUUGGUAAUGCUGGAAUAUAUUUGUAUUGACCAAGGCUUCCAUUAUUCCUUUGAGAAGGGUGUUUACAAUCCUUUGUUUCACUUUUCCUGAAGGAUUUCUCUCUGUGGCAGAAGUGGUGUUCCAUUUUAUCAGGGGCACCACUGCUGGUACACAGCUCACACUGACCGCUUCUAGUGAGCCAAGCAUCGCACUUUCUGCCAUAUAUAACAAACAUUGCAAUAGCCUCAUGAGGUCUAGAGUACUGUAAUUCCAUUUUAAUCCUGGGGAAAUGGAAGCUGAAAAAGGUAGAGACCUUGUCUAAGGGUACCCAGCUGGAAACUGGAAAUGAGGACUCAAUCUACAAGUUGAGCUCUUCAUUCCUUGCUUUUACACUUAAAUCCUGUCUUGCCUUCCCAAAGAACAUGACAACACAUUUUACAAAUGUGUGGGUGUGGUAGGUGUAUACUUCACCAAAAAACCAAGUCUUGUCACAGAAGUGGCUAUGGCCUUGGUAGAGAUCCUUAGCUUAGCUUCCUGUCAUAUCUGAUGCUGUAACAUAGACUUGUUCCUGAAAGGUGGAUGGGAAGUGAAAGGGAGCCCUCAGUCAUUGCGCAGUUAUGAAUGGCGCCCUCUGCUGGUCACUGGCCACACAGCUACUCAAGAGGCACAGCUGCUCAAGAGGCUCCUACACAGAAACAGCGCAGACUCCAGCCCUGUGAUAUGGAAGGUGGGGCAGGUUCCGGAGGAGCACAAGCGCCACUCACCAGGAAGACGUGAUACUCUUCAGAGAUACUCUCAGAGAUUGCAUGUGAGAAUAUACUGGAGGAGGUGAACGUGCACGAGUGUAAGCCUAGUGCCUGAGUGGUAACGUGCCCCUUGGAGACCUGGGCUAUGAGGAGGCCGGAACCAACUCCUGCAGAACUGGACCUCCUGGGAUCCCUGCUCACACUUGCCUGGGAUCCCCACCCCCGUGCUUCCCGUUCAGCAGGUCUACAGUGGGGGCCCAGAAACAUCUCAGACAAGUUUCCAGUGUGGCUACGGCUGCCAGGCUGGGACCCACACCUUGAGGACACUGCCUGGAGAGCCUGCCCCUGGGUGAAGGACAGUGCCGGGGCUAGCCAGGCCAGCUUACCUCUUGCUCCCAGCUCAGGCUCCGCAUCUAAGACACAGACUAAGCAGAGCGUUCCAAGUGUGACCUGUUGGAACAAAAAGAGAACUGCGUUCUGCAUGCCUCCCUGCAGCAAGAUGUCAGCGGGGAGCCCCAACAUCCCCAGCCCCAGGAGACCCUGAGGGUUCUGAUGAGUCCUGCAGGAAAGGAACCUUAGCAAUCAUCUAAGGUAGGUGUCCUGAACUUACAUGACCAUGUAACUCAAGCUGCUCGUGACAUCUCUCUGGACCUGGACCUUUGAGGAAAGCAGGAUAGGACCUGUCUCUGUACAGUGCUAUCUUGUUUUGCAUUAUUUGAAAAGCACUUUGUCAGAAUGUGGAGGUGAGAACUCCUUGAUCCAUCUCUGAAAGUGUUGUAGGGGGGGCCUGCCAGUCUCUUCCUCCCUGGCCCGGGAACCACCCCCUGCCUCCUGCCGGCAUCAGAGCUGCCCGUCCUCACCAGCCCCUACAGAGAAGAGGCACACAAGGGGAGCGACAUGUUCUUUUAUUGAUGCAAGUACGUCCAGUCACACCAACAGCUGACAUCCUGCAUUAUAGUACAGCUUUAUCCUCAGAGUUCAUCUUGAGGUACCAAAACGCCACAGUUAGGGUGUGUAUCAAAUUGGGAAGAUAAAGUAGCAAAUGUGGACACUGUGUCAGGUAGGGACUAGAACUGAUGACCCAGCAAAGUGCACACUGAUGGGAAAGCUCCUGAACACGUGGACAGAAAAGGAUCUAACAUCGUAUUCCAAAUAUAUAUUCUCAAGUUUUAAACCUUUCUUUAUCUCAAAUACAUAAACAAAGCAGUAUGUACUAUCAAUAUACAAUAUGUACUAUCUAGAACAUCUGAAAAGUGCAAAAACACUGUGACAAUACAGUGUAAAGAAUAUCCUUGCUCCACCCAGGGCCGAGGGCGACAUCAGCAGUGAUCACAGAGCCACCUCCCUCCUAAGGCUUCGCCUUCACGUCUCCAGCUCUCCUCGGAGGUUUGGGAAUUAGCAACUAGCUGCCCCGGCCUCAGCCAGGACUCUCAGCUGGCAGAAAACGGGUGUGCGGAGAGAAACAAGGGUGAGUAAUUCCAAAUCUGUACGGAAUGAGAGCCCUGCUGCGAGGGGGAGCACAUCCGCGUGGACUGCCCGCUUCUGGCCUCUUAGGGGCCAGGGCGUCAGAAAGAAAACGGAGUGUGCCCCUCGAGUUUGGGUGUGGGAAAAACCUCCAAAUGUUGGGCAGUGUUAGGUGAGAGGGCUCCAGCGGAUACUGGCUAAUGUUUCUGUCUCCGAUUCUAGCAGGGGAGCUCCCCUGCCCAGAAGGAGGGAGGAGCCUGAUUGGUGAGGUGCUUCUUUUCACUUUGAAGUGGGGACAUUGAAAGCCAGCUUGAACCCCAUCCUUAACUGUACUUUGUAUUCGCCUUAUUACAGCUAAGUCUCUUUCAGUCACAGCCUGGAAAACCGACAAUUCCACGACUCCCCUCCUUACGUUAUUUUAGAUUUCCUCUUUUCCCAAAACGUAGUUGAAGAAUAACUUGCCAGACGUAAUUCCAACAGAAAAUAUGCUGCCAGGCGUCCCCCUGCCCUCCCCCCCUGACCCCCAUAAAUCCCUGAUAAAGGAACAUGAAAAUGUAAACUUUGGAAAGCCCGUGUUCAAGGUUCGCUUCCAGAAGUACACAAAUGAGACCUCCUGGCCACCCUAGUCCUUCAUGCCGGGACCUCACUGGCCUAGGCUUUGAGGGCAGGCGCCUUUGUGGCCCAGGGCAGAGCUGGCUGCAGGCCACGACAGAGCGGGAGACCGGCCCUCCAGGACCCUCUAAGGCACUAACCCCGACAUCAGAGACACUGGCUGGAAGGUAUGUACAAAAUGGACCCCAACCAGUGAGGCCUCCUCAUCUCAACCCAUAUCGAUCAGGAUUAAAACUCGGUACAUAGGUGUGCUUCAUCCAGGUCUGCAGGCUGCAUCCGUGCCUUCAGGCUCUGUUAAGGAGCGUGGUCCUAAAGGUGAGCAGGGAACGAGGAAAUGGUCAGGGGGCUGGCAGGCCCUUCCCCUGAGCAAGCAGAGGGCAGGCCUGUGCUCUCAGGGGAGGGCCGGGCUGCCCAGAACUGGCCAGUGAGGGGAGGAAUCAGGGACACUCAAACCCUAGGUUCUCACCCCGCCGCGGGGAGGCCUUCUUCUGCCUGAUCAGGGUGGAGGUGCCCUCGGCCACCGUUGAGAGGGGCAGACCCGUCAGGGGUGGGGCUGGUCUUGGGGGCUCACCGACUGCUCCUGGACUUCUCUUACCUGAGGGUCUUCCAGCUGUCCUUUUCCAUGUGGUUCUCGGGACCUUCACUUUCAAAGGAGGCGAUGAAGAGAGCUGAGAGACAGGAAGGCCUUCAGAACCCAUGUCCACAUGCAGCCAGUCUGCCCACCACACCAGUUAUCCCUUCUUGCCCGGAAAGGAACUCCCAGACCAAGAUGGCUAUGAUUUUCCUUUCUUUUCUUUUUUUUCUUUUUUUCUUUUUUU